UUGCGGUUAAAAAGCUCGUAGUUGGAUUUCUGUCGAGGGCGGCCGGUCCGCACUAUGUGCGUGUAUCUGGUUCGGUCUUGGCAUGCCUCUUGGGGAUCGUCCGUGUGCUUGAUUGCAUGCGACGGAAUUCAAGACUUUUACUUUGAGGAAAUUAGAGUGUUCACGGCAAGCUAUCGCUUUGAAUACAUUAGCAUGGAAUAAUAAUAUAGGGCGUAAGUUCUAUCUUGUUGGUUCAUAGAAAAUACGCAAUGAUUAAUAGGGAUAAUUGGGGGCACUCGUAUUAACGCGUCAGAGGUGGAAUUCUUAGAUUGCGUUACGACGAACUACUGCGAAAGCAUUUGCCAAGGAUGUUUUCAUUGAUCAAGAACGAAAGUAUGGGGAUCGAAGACGAUUAGAUACCGUCGUAGUCUAUACCAUAAACUAUGCCAACUAGAGAUUGGAGGUCGUUUUAUUUAUGACUCCUUCAGCACCUUAUGAGAAAUCAAAGUUUUUGGGUUCCGGGGGGAGUAUGGUCGCAAGGCUGAAACUUAAAGGAAUUGACGGAAGGGCACCACCAGGAGUGGAGCCUGCGGCUUAAUUUGACUCAACACGGGAAAACUUACCAGGUCCAGACAUAGUAAGGAUUGACAGAUUGAUAGCUCUUUCUUGA
rnacentral:rRNA from 1 species